GUGCACUUUCAAAGUUGUAGUCCUCCGUAAUGGGAGUCGCGGAUUUGUUAACUCGAGUCUGCUGGGAUUACGCUUUGCCCCUUCAUUACAAACUAUAUGCAUUGUUUUGUAGAAUGUGUUAGCCUCUAGUAGGCGAAACUUAAUACAACUUUCAACAACGGAUCUCUUGGCUCUCGCAUCGAUGAAGAACGCAGCGAAAUGCGAUAAGUAAUGUGAAUUGCAGAAUUCAGUGAAUCAUCGAAUCUUUGAACGCACCUUGCGCUCCUUGGUAUUCCGAGGAGCAUGCCUGUUUGAGUGUCGUGAAAUCAUCAACUCCCUUAGCUUUGUUGCGACGGUGAGCUUGGACUUGGGGAUUUGCUGGCCUUCGGGUUCUGGCUUCCCUUGAAUGCAUUAGCUGGACGUUGAUUUGCAGCAUAUAUGCGGUGUGAUAAUUGUCUUCACUGUGUAGCUCAAGUCGAACUGGCUUCUAAUKGUCCUUCGCGGGACAACACUUUGACCAUUAGACCUCAAAUCAGGUAGGACUACCCGCUGAACUUAAGCAUAUCAAUAAGCGGAGGAAAAGAAACUAACAAGGAUUCCCCUAGUAACUGCGAGUGAAGCGGGA
rnacentral:rRNA from 1 species